rnacentral:rRNA from 1 species
UAAGGUGGUUAUUGCGGCGGGGCUCACCUCUUCCCAUUCCGAACAGAGAAGUUAAGCCCGCCUGCGCAGAUGGUACUGCAAUUUGUGGGAGAGUAUGUCGCUGCCUUUC